UACGUAGGGUCCGAGCGUUGUCCGGAAUUAUUGGGCGUAAAGGGCUCGUAGGCGGUUUGUCGCGUCGGGAGUGAAAACCGGGUGCUUAACACCUGGCUUGCUUUCGAUACGGGCAGACUAGAGGUAUGCAGGGGAGAACGAAUUCCUGGUGUAGCGGUGAAAUGCGCAGAUAUCAGGAGGAACACCGGUGGCGAAGGCGGUUCUCUGGGCAUGUCCUGACGCUGAGGAGCGAAAGUGUGGGGAGCGAACAGG
rnacentral:rRNA from 1 species